rnacentral:rRNA from 1 species
AUUGAACGCUGGCGGCAUGCCUUACACAUGCAAGUCGAACGGUAACAGGUCUUCGGGUGCUGACGAGUGGCGAACGGGUGAGUAAUACAUCGGAACGUGCCUAGUAGUGGGGGAUAACUACUCGAAAGAGUGGCUAAUACCGCAUGAGAUCUACGGAUGAAAGCAGGGGAUCGCAAGACCUUGUGCUACUAGAGCGGCCGAUGGCAGAUUAGGUAGUUGGUGGGAUAAAAGCUUACCAAGCCGACGAUCUGUAGCUGGUCGGAGAGGACGAUCAGCCACACUGGGACUGGGACACGGCCCAGACUCCUACGGGAGGCAGCAGUGGGGAAUUUUGGACAAUGGGCGCAAGCCUGAUCCAGCAAUGCCGCGUGCAGGAUGAAGGCCUUCGGGUUGUAAACUGCUUUUAUACGGAACGAAAAGCCCUGGGUUAAUACCCUGGGGUCAUGACGGUACCGUAAGAAUAAGCACCGGCUAACUACGUGCCAGCAGCCGCCGUAAAAC